UACGUAGGGUGCAAGCGUUGUCCGGAAUUAUUGGGCGUAAAGAGCUCGUAGGCGGUUUGUUGCGUCGGCUGUGAAAUCCCGAGGCUCAACCUCGGGUCUGCAGUCGAUACGAGCAAACUAGAGUGUUGCAGGGGAGACUGGAAUUCCUGGUGUAGCGGUGAAAUGCGCAGAUAUCAGGGAGGAACACCGGUGGCGAAGGCGGUUCUCUGGGCAGUUACCUGA
rnacentral:rRNA from 1 species